GGACAUUACCGAGUUAUACAACUCCCAAACCCACUGUGAACCUUACCUCAGUUGCUCGGCGGGAACGCCCCGGCCGCCGGCCCCCGCGCCGGCGCCGGACCCAGGCGCCCGCCGCAGGGACCCCAAACUCUCUUGCAUUACGCCCAGCGGGCGGAAUUUCUUCUCUGAGUUGCACAAGCAAAAACAAAUGAAUCAAAACUUUCAACAACGGAUCUCUUGGUUCUGGCAUCGAUGAAGAACGCAGCGAAAUGCGAUAAGUAAUGUGAAUUGCAGAAUUCAGUGAAUCAUCGAAUCUUUGAACGCACAUUGCGCCCGCCAGCAUUCUGGCGGGCAUGCCUGUUCGAGCGUCAUUUCAACCCUCGAGCCCCCCCGGGGGCCUCGGUGUUGGGGGACGGCACACCAGCCGCCCCCGAAAUGCAGUGGCGACCCCGCCGCAGCCUCCCCUGCGUAGUAGCACACACCUCGCACCGGAGCGCGGAGGCGGUCACGCCGUAAAACGCCCAACUUUCUUAGAGUUGACCUCGGAUCAGGUAGGAAUACCCGCUGAACUUAAGCAUAUCAAUAAGCGGAGGAAAAGAAACCAACAGGGAUUGCCCCAGUAACGGCGAGUGAAGCGGCAACAGCUCAAAUUUGAAAUCUGGCCCCCAGGGCCCGAGUUGUAAUUUGCAGAGGAUGCUUUUGGCGCGGUGCCUUCCGAGUUCCCUGGAACGGGACGCCAUAGAGGGUGAGAGCCCCGUCUGGUCGGACGCCUAGCCUGUGUAAAGCUCCUUCGACGAGUCGAGUUGUUUGGGGAAUAC
rnacentral:rRNA from 1 species